CAUUGCUGUGGCCACUCCAAUGUGCUGUGACUUUCAGCUUAAUCUAACUUGGGGUGUUAUAUGACUGAGUUCCUACAGAAUACCAUAGGCUCCAGAAGACCAAAAGCUUGAAGGAUGCAGCUAGUUUAAGCAUGGCCAAAACUGGGAGUUCAGGUCCCCUUUGAGAGGAGCUUGUCUCUAUCUACUCCACAGGAUGCCGGUCUUUCUAGCAAUGUGGCCAGACUUCUUACAAAACAGCUCCAAGAGGGAACAUUGCAAAUGGCAAAGAAGGAAGCUGGAGAUCUCUGAAGGCCAACCUUGGAAGUCACACAGCAUCACUUCUAGCACAUUUUGUUGGUUAAAGUAAAGGAGCUCUCUCAACGUCCAUUCCUGGGGAGGGAGGGAAAGAGCAUCAGAAGUCUGAGUGUGGAGCCUUCCAAAUGUUACCUGAUGUGUCUUUCUCUCUUGCUGAUCCUGCC